UGACGGCCCAGGACAGCUUGAGAAACAGAUGUAAAAAUUCCCGCGUCCAGCCCAAGAGUGGCCGUGGGCUCCUCCUGCCUCGCUCAGAGUCAGAAUCAAAUAAGGUGGUGAAGGUCCGAGCGGCCAUUUGACCUGCAGCUAUUCUGAAGAUCACAUAAGGAAGUUCUGGGAGCCAGAUCCACGGGACCUGGCAUGAAAUGGGAGGCGUUGUGCCUGCCUGGCAUACCCCACCAAGCAUGUGGUCACAGCAGCCAUGGGAAUCCGGUACGAUGCAUUCAUUUAAGACCAAAUUACAGGUUUCCUGAAGGUUUGGGACUCCAUCUGAUUUGUUCCCCCUGUUUAAUGUCUAGUCCCCAAAUAAUCCUGGGCCUUGGUACAC
ensembl:lncRNA